GUAGUAAUUCGUAGGGCUAAUACGUGCGAAGCGCCGAGCCGCGAGGCGACGGCGUUCUCGCCGGAUGUAGGAACCGACCCGGGGACCGCCGGGGCAACCCGGCGCCCCCGAGACGGGGCGAACCACGGUGAAAUGACGGAUCGUCGGCCCCCGCGCCGGCGACUCGCCGAAUGAGUUUCUGACCUAUCAACUCGAGACGGCGGGGUAGAGGCCCGCCGCGGUAACGACGGGUAACGGGGAAUCAGGGUUCGAUUCCGGAGAGGGAGCCCGAGAAACGGCUACCACUUCCAAGGAAGGCAGCAGGCGCGCAACUUACCCUAAUCUCGAUUCGAGGAGGUAGUGACAAGAAAUACCGAUGCGGGACCCUACGGGUGCCGCGUUCGGAAUGAGUACGAUUCGAACCAC
rnacentral:rRNA from 1 species